GAAGCCUCUUUCUCAGGACCUCGGACUCUGCCUCGGCAUCUUUGACCGCCUGCUGCUCGUGGACUAGCUGAAUCUUCAGCCGCUGCAGUUCGGCCUCCCGCCACCCAAAGGCCGCAAACAGUUCUAUCAUGGUCUUCCUCAAGGAGCAGAGCUCAUCGAAGUCUCGUGCAGAGGAAGGCUGGACUCUCCCGGACAACUGCCUCCGAAGGCGGGCAAAUUCGUCGGUCGCCGUCUGGAGCUUCCUUCGGUAGUCCUCUACUUGCCCGCUCUAGCCAACUCAGUGGGCGUUGUAGUUCGCCUCAGCAUCCUGCAGCUGCUUCUGAAGGUCGGAGAAUUUCUUUAACCAGUCU
rnacentral:lncRNA from 1 species